AAUGAACGCUGGCGGCAUGCCUCAUACAUGCAAGUCGAACGAGAAGCCAUCUUCGGAUGGUGGAUAGUGGCAAACGGGUGCGUAACACGUGGGAAUGUACCUCAAGGUUUGGGAUAGCCCCGGGAAACUGGGAUUAAUACCGGAUAAGCUCUACGGAGGAAAGAUUUAUCGCCUUGAGAUCAGCCCGCGGUUGAUUAGCUUGUUGGUAGGGUAAUGGCCUACCAAGGCAACGAUCAAUAGCUGGUCUGAGAGGAUGAUCAGCCACACUGGGACUGAGAUACGGCCCAG
rnacentral:rRNA from 1 species